AUAACCUGGAGGAAGGUGGGGAUGACGUCAAAUCAUCAUGCCCCUUAUGCUUAGGGCUACACAAGUGCUACAAUGGGUAGUACAGAGGGUUGCCAAGCCGUAAGGUGGAGCUAAUCCCUUAAAGCUACUCUCAGUUCGGAUUGUAGGCUGAAACUCGCCUACAUGAAGCUGGAGUUACUAGUAAUCGCAGAUCAGAAUGCUGCGGUGAAUGCGUUCCCGGGUCUUGUACACACCGCCCGUCACACCACGGGAGUUGGAGACGCCCGAAGCCGAUUAUCUAACCUGUUGGAAGAAGUCGUCGAAGGUGGAAUCAAUAACUGGGGUGAAGUCGUAACAAGGUAGCCGUAUCGGAAGGUGCGGCUGGAUCACCUCCUUUCUAAGGAGA
rnacentral:rRNA from 1 species